UACGUAGGGUGCGAGCGUUGUCCGGAUUUAUUGGGCGUAAAGAGCUCGUAGGCGGUUUGUCGCGUCGGCCGUGAAAUCUCCACGCUUAACGUGGAGCGUGCGGUCGAUACGGGCAGACUUGAGUUCGGUAGGGGAGACUGGAAUUCCUGGUGUAGCGGUGAAAUGCGCAGAUAUCAGGAGGAACACCGAUAGCGAAGGCAGCUCGCUGGGACGGUACUGACGCUGAGGCGCGAAAGCGUGGGGAGCGAACAGG
rnacentral:rRNA from 1 species